AGCGAACGCUGGCGGCAGGCCUAACACAUGCAAGUCGAACGAACUCUUCGGAGUUAGUGGCGGACGGGUGAGUAACACGUGGGAACGUGCCUUUUGGUUCGGAAUAACUCAGGGAAACUUGUGCUAAUACCGAAUGUGCCCUUCGGGGGAAAGAUUUAUCGCCAUUAGAGCGGCCCGCGUCUGAUUAGCUAGUUGGUGAGGUAACGGCUCACCAAGGCGACGAUCAGUAGCUGGUCUGAGAGGAUGACCAGCCACACUGGGACUGAGACACGGCCCAGACUCGUAGGGGAGGCAGAGGGGGGGAUUAGUGCGCAAGGGGCUAAAGACGGACGCAGCCGUGGCGCUUGAAUGAUAUAGUUUGAUGGAUUAAAAAAUUCUUUCGCCGGGGAAGAUAAGGACGCUGCCCGGAGAAGACGCCCCGGCCAACGUCGUCCCAGCAGCCGUGGUAAUAGACGAAAAGAAUCCGUCCAAAC
rnacentral:rRNA from 1 species